rnacentral:rRNA from 1 species
AGAGUUUGAUCCUGGCUCAGGAUGAACGCUAGCGGCAGGCCUAACACAUGCAAGUCGAGGGGUAACAGGGUAGCAAUAUCGCUGACGACCGGCGCACGGGUGAGUAACGCGUAUGUAACCUUCCUUUAACUGGGGCAUAGCCCGGAGAAAUUCGGAUUAAUACCCCAUAACAUUGCGAAGAGGCAUCUUUUUGCAAUUAAAGCUCCGGCGGUUAAAGAUGGGCAUGCGUGCCAUUAGCUAGUUGGUGAGGUAACGGCUCACCAAGGCUACGAUGGUUAGGGGGUCUGAGAGGAUGAUCCCCCACACUGGUACUGAGACACGGACCAGACUCCUACGGGAGGCAGCAGUGAGGAAUAUUGGGCAAUGGGCGCAAGCCUGACCCAGCCAUGCCGCGUGAAGGAUGAAUGCCCUAUGGGUUGUAAACUUCUUUUGUACGGGACGAAUCUCUCGAACGUGUUCGGGACUGACUGUACCGUACGAAUAAGCAUCGGCUAACUCCGUGCCAGCAGCCGCGGUAAUACGGAGGAUGCAAGCGUUAUCCGGAUUCAUUGGGUUUAAAGGGUGCGUAGGCGGAAGAAUAAGUCAGUGGUGAAAGCCUGCGGCUUAACCGUAGAAUUGCCAUUGAUACUGUUUUUCUUGAGUAUAGUUGAAGUGGGCGGAAUGUGUAAUGUAGCGGUGAAAUGCUUAGAUAUUACACAGAACACCAAUUGCGAAGGCAGCUCACUAAGCUGUUACUGACGCUGAGGCACGAAAGCGUGGGGAGCAAACAGGAUUAGAUACCCUGGUAGUC